UAAUAAGUGUUUUAUGGCACUUUUUAAAUCCAUAUCCACCAUUGUGUGCAAUGUCAGUCGAUCUUCUUUUAUGGAGGAUCGACCAAACAUCAACCUUUAUAUUUUAACUCUUUGUCUGAAAAAUAUUAUGAAUAAACAAUUCAAAAUA
rnacentral:misc_RNA from 1 species